rnacentral:lncRNA from 1 species
CGGGGAGUGGGUGCGGCGGGAGUUGGGGUGAUCGUUAACAUUUAGACUGGAGCUGUUUCCCUGGAGGUGCGCCCUUGGGAAGGGCCUGACUGUGUGAAGAGUGGACAGCAGUCCUCCGCCCCCUGCUGGGCUCGCGGCCCCAGAUGAGACCACCCUAAAGGAGCUGGCCGAGACCCUGCAACAGAAGAACAUUGACCACAUGCUGUGGCUUGAGCAACCAGAGAAUAUCGCCACUUGUAUUGCUCUCCGGCCCUACCCCAAGGAAGAAGUGGGCCAGUAUUUGAAGAAGUUCCGAUUGUUCAAGUAACUGCUGCUUUGAUGUGUUUGAAUACGCAGGCCACCCAUUCCAAAGCAUCAUGUGUUCCUUGCAGUGUCAGCUUGCUCCCGUCUUUCAGUUGUGACAAUUUCUUGAGGGUUAAGCACAUGUUCAUAUUAAAGUUGUC